UACGUAGGGCGCAAGCGUUGUCCGGAAUUAUUGGGCGUAAAGAGCUCGUAGGCGGCUUGUCACGUCGAUUGUGAAAGCCCGAGGCUUAACCUCGGGUCUGCAGUCGAUACGGGCUAGCUAGAGUGUGGUAGGGGAGAUCGGAAUUCCUGGUGUAGCGGUGAAAUGCGUAGAUAUCUGGAGGAACACCGGUGGCGAAGGCGGCAUUCUGGACCAAUAUUGACGCUGAGGUGCGAAAGCGUGGGGAGCAAACAGG
rnacentral:rRNA from 1 species